UACGUAGGGUGCAAGCGUUAAUUGGAAUUACUGGGCGUAAAGCGUGCGCAGGCGGUGAUGUAAGACAGAUGUGAAAUCCCCGGGCUCAACCUGGGAACUGCAUUUGUGACUGCAUCGCUGGAGUGCGGCAGAGGGGGAUGGAAUUCCGCGUGUAGCAGUGAAAUGCGUAGAUAUGCGGAGGAACACCGAUGGCGAAGGCAAUCCCCUGGGCCUGCACUGACGCUCAUGUACGAAAGCGUGGGGAGCAAACAGG
rnacentral:rRNA from 1 species